rnacentral:tRNA from 1 species
GCAUGCCUAGUGUAGUGGUCAGCACGCUCGACGCGUAUUCGAGAGGUCCGUGGUUCGAAUCUCGGCGAGGGCA